UGAGGAAUAUUGGUCAAUGGGCGAGAGCCUGAACCAGCCAAGUAGCGUGCAGGACGACGGCCCUAUGGGUUGUAAACUGCUUUUGCAGGGGGGUAAAGUGAGCUACGUGUAGCUUAUUGCAAGUACCCUGCGAAUAAGGAUCGGCUAAUUCCGUGCCAGCAGCCGCGGUAAUACGGAAGAUCCGAGCGUUAUCCGGAUUUAUUGGGUUUAAAGGGAGCGUAGGCGGAAGUCCAAGUCAGCUGUGAAAGUCUGCGGCUUAACCGUAGAAUUGCAGUUGAAACUGGACUCCUUGAGUACACAUAAGGAUGGUGGAAUUUGUGGUGUAGCGGUGAAAUGCAUAGAUAUCACGAAGAACUCCGAUUGCGAAGGCAGCCAUCUGGGGUGGAACUGACGCUGAGGC
rnacentral:rRNA from 1 species